AUUGAACGCUGGCGGCAUGCUUUACACAUGCAAGUCGAACGGUAACAGGCCGCAAGGUGCUGACGAGUGGCGAACGGGUGAGUAAUGCAUCGGAACGUGCCCAGUCGUGGGGGAUAACGCCGCGAAAGCUGCGCUAAUACCGCAUACGAUCUCUGGAUGAAAGCGGGGGACCGAAAGGCCUCGCGCGAUUGGAGCGGCCGAUGUCAGAUUAGGUAGUUGGUGGGGUAAAGGCCCACAAAGCCAACGAUCUGUAGCUGGUCUGAGAGGACGACCAGCCACACUGGGACUGAGACACGGCCCAGACUCCUACGGGAGGCAGCAGUGGGGAAUUUUGGACAAUGGGCGCAAGCCUGAUCCAGCAAUGCCGCGUGCAGGAAGAAGGCCUUCGGGUUGUAACCUGCUUUUGUACGGAACGAAACGGUCCGGGUUAAUACCCUGGGCUAAUGACGGUACCGUAAGAAUAAGCACCGGCUAACUACGUGCCAGCAGCCGCGGUAA
rnacentral:rRNA from 1 species